AUUGAACGCUGGCGGCAGGCCUAACACAUGCAAGUCGAGCGGGGUUUUCGGACCUAGCGGCGGACGGGUGAGUAAUGCGUAGGAAGCUACCCGAUAGAGGGGGAUACCAGUUGGAAACGACUGUUAAUACCGCAUAAUGUCUACGGACCAAAGUGUGGGACCUUCGGGCCACAUGCUAUCGGAUGUGCCUACGUGGGAUUAGCUAGUUGGUGAGGUAAUGGCUCACCAAGGCGACGAUCCCUAGCUGGUUUGAGAGGAUGAUCAGCCACACUGGAACUGAGACACGGUCCAGACUCCUACGGGAGGCAGCAGUGGGGAAUAUUGGAAAAUGGGCGCAAGACUGAUCCAGCCAUGCCGCGUGUGUGAAGAAGGCCUUCGGGUUGUAAAGCACUUUCAGUAAGGAGGAAGCGUUGAGUGUUAAUAGUACUCAGCGUUGACGUUACUUACAGAAGAAGCACCGGCUAACUCUGUGCCAGCAGCCGCCGUAACAC
rnacentral:rRNA from 1 species